AUUCGGUUCAGUAUACAAGAUGCUAUCGCCUUUUACGGUCAUAAUUUGAAAGACUAGUUAGCUAUACUUUAUACAAAACCAGGUAUCUCUUUGAACCUGAAACUAAGAAACCACCUUUUACAUUCUCUUACUUAGCACACAUUUGUUAGAGGUCACUAUACUCAGUUACAUAAUGUAGCGGUGUGGUUAUAAUAAAAAUAACAAAUCUCAAUUUAACUACGUGGAAGAGUU